AGGAAAGGUAGCUAUUCAAUCAUGGAGAACAUUUAUUUUCCAGUAAAGGGUGUUGAGUCAAUUAAAUUUGAAAAAACAAACAAAACAAGCCUGGAAGCCCAUUUAACUUAUAAGGGCAGAGAGAGAUGCCAGAUCCUGUCAGCCCACUCCUGUGACUUACAUGGGCACACAAAAGUGAAGCGUGUCUUCAUAGUAUUUGCCUUCGGGACAGUUGCAGCCCUCAGCACAGUCAUCGUUACACUGCUCAGGGGCAGCUAGGGACACGCAGGAGCGGCGACAAAAGGAGGCACAGUGGUGGUACAGCAUGCCCUUCUGGCACACGACCCCUAGGAUGAAGGAGCAUCAGUUCCUUUCACAAGGAUGUAUUGGCACAUUCCAAUAAAAGAAUAAUGUCGACCAUCAAAUGUUGUAAAAUGAGAAUCACCCACAACGGAGCAUUGAACUACCAGAAAAAAAAUAAGAAGAAGAAGAAAAAUAAGAAAAGACAAAAAGAAGAAGGAGAGAGAGAAGGAGAAGGUGGAGAAAGAAAUCACAUUUAUUCUUAAAAAGCAAAAAGCUGAUUUACGAUGAAAAAAAGUUGAGCAUCAGAGAGAUCAAAUGAGUUGCCUCAAGUUAUACAACAGAAGAUGCUCUUCUCUGAAUAUUUCAAGUGCGGAAGGGUCUGGAGAAAAUGCACGGGGCCAAUGGACCAGCAGACAGGGAUGUCCACAUGGCCUGCCGAGCCAUCUGUGAAGACACCAUCCACAGAAGCUUCUGCUGCUGCAGUGUGCGUGUGUUGCCCUCAGUCUCCAAAGAACUGACACUUUAAAGUUCAUAGAACAUUCAAAUAUACCUUUUUAUAGACGCCCCACCACUUUAGGGUAAUGGUUAAGAGUAUGAAUUAUGGAACCAGUCAGACCUGGAUUAGAGUCCUGAUUCGAACAUCACAUACUCUUAGGCAAGUUUCCUAACCUCUUAAAAAGAGAAAAAAAAAAAAAAGCUUCCUAACCUCUUAGAGCCUUCUUUUACUUGUGUGUAAAAUGGAAUGAUGGUACCUACUUAAUGGUGCGGUUAUGACAAUAAAUUAAAGUGAUGUAUGUAAAAUUUCUAGUGAAGUGACUCCCACAUAGAGGAUCAGCAAUAAAGAGAUUUAUGUUAAUCUAAGCAACCCAGAUAAACCUUAAGAUUUCUGGAGGUCAA